rnacentral:lncRNA from 1 species
AAUAAUCUAUUAUUUCUUUUGCAAUUCAACAAAGUUUAUGCUUCGUGAUCUUUAAUUUUGUACCAAAACUACCGACUGUCUCUAGAGCAAGUGACAAAAGAUUUGGUGGUUGGUAUUCGAGACACAAGUUGAAAUCCUAAUUGAUUCACAUUUCCAGCUAAAUUUAUUUCUAAAUGAAAUAAACGAAACGGGUAGCGUGCUACUUUUCCUCAUGUGAAUAAGCUACUGGAACAAAAUUACGAAGUA